UACGUAGGUGGCAAGCGUUAUCCGGAAUUAUUGGGCGUAAAGAGCGCGCAGGUGGUUAAUUAAGUCUGAUGUGAAAGCCCACGGCUUAACCGUGGAGGGUCAUUGGAAACUGGUUGACUUGAGUGCAGAAGAGGGAAGUGGAAUUCCAUGUGUAGCGGUGAAAUGCGUAGAGAUAUGGAGGAACACCAGUGGCGAAGGCGGCCUCCUGGUCUGCAACUGACACUGAGGCGCGAAAGCGUGGGGAGCAAACAGG
rnacentral:rRNA from 1 species